UACGUAGGGUGCGAGCGUUAAUCGGAAUUACUGGGCGUAAAGCGUGCGCAGGUGGCCGCGCAAGUCGAGUGUGAAAUCCCCGGGCUUAACUUGGGAAUUGCGCUCGAAACUACGUGGCUCGAGUGUGGCAGAGGAAGGUGGAAUUCCACGUGUAGCGGUGAAAUGCGUAGAGAUGUGGAGGAACACCGAUGGCGAAGGCAGCCUUCUGGGCCAACACUGACGCUCAUGCACGAAAGCGUGGGGAGCAAACAGG
rnacentral:rRNA from 1 species